AGCGAACGUUAGCGGCGGGCCUAACACAUGCAAGUCGAACGCGAAAGGUCUUCGGACUGAUUAGAGUGGCGCACGGGUGAGUAACACGUAGGUAAUCUACCCUUUGGCGGGGAUAACGUUCCGAAGGAGCGCUAAUACCGCAUAAGACCACGGAGUCUCCGGACGCUGUGGGAAAAGGUGGCCUCUUCUUGAAAGCUAUCACCGGAGGAUGAGCCUGCGUCCCAUCAGCUAGUUGGUAAGGUAAUGGCUUACCAAGGCAAAGACGGGUAGCUGGUUUGAGAGAAUGAUCAGCCACACUGGCACUGGAACACGGGCCAGACUCCUACGGGAGGCAGCAGUGAGGAAUACUUGGGCAAUGGGCGAAAGCCUGACCCAGCCACGCCGCGUGAGUGAUGAAGGCCCUCGGGUCGUAAAGCUCUGUGGAGAGGGACGAAAAAACCUGGGGUCUAAUAGGCCCCGGACUUGACGGUACCUCUUUAGCAAGCACCGGCUUAACUCUGUGACCAGCAGCCGCGGUUAAA
rnacentral:rRNA from 1 species